rnacentral:rRNA from 1 species
UACAGAGGGGGCAAGCGUUGUUCGGAAUUACUGGGCGUAAAGGGCGCGUAGGCGGCCCGCUAAGUCGAACGUGAAAUCCCCAGGCUCAACCUGGGAACCGCGUCCGAUACUGGCAGGCUUGAAUCCGGGGGAGGGAUGUGGAAUUCCAGGUGUAGCGGUGAAAUGCGUAGAUAUCUGGAGGAACAUCGGUGGCGAAGGCGGCCUACUGGGUCAGUACUGACGCUGAGCCGCGAAAGCCAGGGGAGCGAACGGG